rnacentral:lncRNA from 10 species
AAGAAACAGUGACAAGGAUGUCGCCCACCACCUUUAUUACCACCUUCUCCCGCUUACUUCUCCCUCAUCACCCACGGCCUCACUCCUCGCAUUUUUCUUCUGUUAGGCUGAAAGAAGUUUCUCUCUGAGUCUUCUCAAGUACUUUUGGAGGCUCUCCAACCUCGAACCUUAAAAUUUGACGGCCCCUUCCUGAAAUGCAAAGGACCAAGACGAAUUCCCCAAGUGCCCAGAGUCUUAAUCCUACAGUCAAAGAGUUUGCUCCCCGAUGCGUCCUCCGCAGAAACCCUUUGAAAUCGCUUGGUCCAGGGCCAUGUGAGCGCUUUGAAAAGCAAUUGUGGGAGCUUCCUUCUGGGUUCCGGGGCUUUCCCCCGCGCUCAGGGUCUUGAGGCUUGUGACAAGGACUCCCAAUGUGGUGGAGGCAUGUGCUGUGCUGUCAGUAUCUGGGUCAAGAGCAUAAGGAUUUGCACACCUAUGGGCAAACUGGGAGACAGCUGCCAUCCACUGACUCGUAAAGUUAGUAUAUAUAUAUUUGUAUUCAUGGUGGUUCUACUGUGGUAACUCUGAGCAGGGUCUGUAUGACAUGAAGGACUGGGUAACGUGCUCGACAAACAAAAUGAAUAUUGGACAUUAGCAAGGAUAACAGUGUAAAACUACCCCCUCUCCUCUCCCCUUUCAUUUCAAAGAAUUGUAUCCUCUGUCUUUCUUAUUCCAGUGAUAGUUUUCAUGUUACUGCUCUCAUGGUGUUAGAAGCAUUUUACCAAUAUAAUUUGCAACACAUGAAUUUGCUUAAAAGUUAUUUAGAACAAAAAUAUAUAUUAUACUCUAGUAUGCAUCUUUGCAGAAAUCUGAGUAUAGAAGUUCUUAAAAAGACUGCUUUUAAUAUUAGAUCUACUGAUAAGGCAGAAGUAAGGAAGCUCUGUGUUUUGGGAUUUUUUAGAAAAUCGAUUAUACAAUUACUCUUGUAUGUUAGUUUAAAUAUUCUAUAUUUUGACUCUACCUACAGGACACAUUUUUCAAAAUUUUAGAGAUCGAUGAUAUUUAAUUUUCCAAUUUGCUUUAUUAUCUGUCAGCUCAAUAUCACAGUGACCUAAAUAACACUUUUGAAAAGUUAUUAACAGUAGUGGCAUGAUCAUAGGGUGGCAGGAUUGGACAGGGUUUGAGAGAUUGUAUCUCCAAGGGUUGCAGACCCACCUGUCUACAGGGGUCAGGAAGGUUUAUAUUACAUGAGGAAGCGGGUGGGUGGGAGGCAGAAGGCAUGUGGAGCUGGAGGUUCUUGGCCUUCUGGUUGAAAACCUUUGAAACACAGUGUGGUCUCAACAGAGCACCCCAGGAAUGCCAGGUUGCAUUGCCUUCCUCUGGUCCCACCUCCGCAUUUUUCCCAUUGGUAAAGUGCCUCCAGUGGCGUUGCAACAAGUCCUAGGGCAGGUGGUUUUCGAGAGGCAGAGCUCAGUCUCUUUAGAAUGUUCUUUCUACACAUUGUAUACUUUCUUUUAGAUACAAGUAGAAUGUUAUCAGAGCAAACCAAAUUCCAUUUUCUGUCUUAUUUUUUCACAUGUGAUUUAGGGUUUAAAAAUGUAACACAGCCAAACAUCAUUCCCAUACUCCACAGUCCCAGAGAACAGUUAAUAUUUUCACCUCCUCGGAGUGAACAGAAUGAAAUAAAUUGUGGCCCCUUGGCCCAGGUUUAACUCUGCAAGCUAUAAUGUGGAUUCCAGUUGUUUUGGGCCUAUCUAAAGACUGAAUUUGCUUUUGGCUUUCCUGUGGUUGCCUUGUGAAAUGCUUCCUGUUACAUUUAAACCAUCCCUCCUGUGGUUUUACCAUGCAAGACUGCAAUGUCAUUUAAAAACAUGACAUGCAUUGUUUUUUCUUGGACAGAAGAGGUUUAAACCGUUACUUGUGUGUCUCAAUGCCAAACUUCCCUAGAAGAGGGGCCGCUGGCCCAGCUGCCUUUAGCAUUUCUCUCGUUAUUUUCAACACCCUUAUUGAAUUAUGAGUUAUCUUUUGUACACUUAAGUCAUUGUCUCUGAAACAUUUACUCUUAACUUUCUCCUUUAAGAAUUACGUUGUUUUUGGCUGGGCAUAGUGGCUCACACUGUAAUCCCAGCAAUUUGGGAGUCUGAGGCAGGCAGUUUGCUUGAGCCCAGGAAUUUGAGACCAGCCUGGGCAACAUAGUGAGACCCCGUCUCUAUAGAAAAAUUUUUAAAAAUUAGCUGGGCAUGGUGGCACACACCUGUAGUCCUAAUUACCAGGAAGGCUGAGGUGGGGGAGGGGAUCAGUAGAAUCCAGGAGUUUCAGGCUGCAGUGAGCGUGAUCUUGCCACUAUACUCCAGCCUGGGUGACAGAGCAAGACUCUGUCUGGAAAAAGAAAAAUUGUGUUGUUUUCAUGCAGUAUUAGUACAGCUUCACAUGCCCUAGAUGCUAGAAUCACAUAGCCUGUUUACUGAAACAAGGGAAAAGUGACAUAUCCCAUGGAACUAUGUUUGUGUUAAUAACAAUCAUAAUUGCACCUUGUUAAAUACUGUGAUGUACCAGAUCCUCUAUAUUAAAUGUUGUAUAUGUACUUCUUACUUAAUACAGCAAGCCUGUAUACAACAUUAAGCCCCAGAGGGGUUCAGCAACACAGGCUGUGAGUAAACAAGAGACACUCAACUUCAUUCUUUGUGACACUCUGUUGUUUAUGUGGUCUUAAUCAUUACACGCUUCUGCCUCCGCGAAAGCAGUCGUUGGGUUUAAUUUGAACACUUUGUAGUCCAAUUAACCAAAACUGGUUUGUUUGGAUAACAGAGACAAAAUGAUCACUGGAAUGAGUGAUAACAGUUCAGAAUGGGAAUUUGUGUCGUCCGAUAGUUUUGAUGAGUGUUCCAAUCCUCUGCAAUAUUUAAAAGAGAACCGAAUUCUAUUUCCCUAGUUCCUAGAUAACUUCAAUUUCAGGUUUAGUCCAAGAUUAAUUUUGAAAGUAAACAAAUGCAGUCUUCUUGCAUAAGCCUGGCUACAUCUCUUUGGUUCUGUUUUUAUCAUGGAUCCAAUAAUGAAAUCUUUAAAUAAUAGAGUAUGGUUUUCAGAUGUUCACUUGAAAUGUAUUUCUGGAAUUUUAUUUUCUAACUUUUCAUAUUGGUUGCUUUUUUAUCUUCAAAUACAUUUUCAAAGGUUAUUUUGAUGACCUAUUUUAAGAGAAGAUCCUAGAGUUGUACUUGUUCCAGAUGAAAUUUACCUAUUGUAGAAAAAGAUCUAGUUUCUUCCAGAAUAUCUCUCAGCUGUAUGGUCUGUUCAAAACAACUCAAGAAAAAAGUCUUUCCUCAAUACAUACUGAUGAACAUUAUGUACAGUAUUCAAUUAUGCUCUGAAGUUUAAUGACUCAUUAGUAGAUAGUAAAAAUGUAGACCCUAUAUAGAAUUUUUUUUUUCAUUUUGUUUCAGCUUAGUCAUUAGCCACCGAAAAUCCGUUUAUUUGGGUCAAGUGAACAGUAUUUGAUGACUGAAACUGAGAACCAUAGAUAGGAGUUUAUAGCUACCGAGUUCAGUUUGCUGUUUUAUUUAACAUGUACCAAUUAACUUGUACAGUUUACAGUCCCUGACAGGCUAUUGUUUUAUAAUUGUAUAGUUUUGAACUUUAUGUUUGAUAAUUUUAAGAUAGAAUAAAAUAUGUGAGAUAUAUGAGUUCACCUAGGAAGCAUAGUAUGCAUAUUUUCUAAAUACAUUUUAAAGCAAAUAAUAGUUUUAACAGGUAUUCAUUUUUCUCAAAUUUUUUAUUUUAUUUUAUUUUAUUUUAUUUAUUUAUUUUUUUGAGACAGAGUCUCGCUUUGUCACCCAGGCUGGAGUGCAGUGGUGUGAUCUCGGCUCACUGCAAGCUCCGCCUCCCGGGUUCACGCCAUUCUCCUGCCUCAGCCUCUCAAGUAGCUGGGACUACAGGCGCCCACAACCACGCCCGGCUAAUGUUUUUGGUAUUUUUCGUAGAGACGGGGUUUCACCUUGUUAGCCAGGAUGGUCUUGAUCUCCUGACCUCGUGAUCUGCCUGCCUCGGCCUCCCAAAGUGUUGGGAUUACAGGCACAUUUUUCACAAUUUUUUAACACUUAAGAAUGACUUAACUGAAUCAUGCCUUUAGAAGAAACUUUCUGUUUAAAAAAAAAAAAAGACAAAACAACAAGGUUUCUAUUAAUGCCGGUAACUUUCCAAAGUUUACAUAGAAGAUUAGCCAUUUCCUUCCCAUUUUGACUAAUGUUUAGCUUUGAAAGCUUUGAACACUUUUUAGUAUUCAAUAAUUAUGUGAUUAAUACUUUAAUCUUUAUUGCUUAUUGUAUUCUGAAUUUUUUCAGUUUAAACAACUAUGUUUCCUUCAAACAAUCUUGUUUUUAAAUUUUCCUGCGCUUUUUAUGUGAACAUUUUUAGCACCAGGUUUUUUUAAAAACUUCACUUUCCUUCCUUUUCUGAAGGAAAAAAAUUCAAAUAAAAACCUGGUACUUGUUUUAUUUUUUUAACUUGAUAUUUAAAAAAUUAUUAGUGGUUUCUACUUUAGAACCAACCUAUGAGGAAACAUUGUAAACAUAAUUUCAGAAUAUGAAGUCAUUAAAAUUUUUACAUAUUUUUUAAAGUAAAAAAAUUUUAAAAUACUAAAAUAUAACUAAUGCAACUAGAAAUUUAGCAAAAGAUGGGGAAGAAAGCAUAAUAUGCUGAUUUUCUCAUCUUUCCUAUCACAAUGUCAAGAGCUACUGUCUAUGAUUAUUUCUUGGGAUAGCAUCAUAGCAGUGUUUAUAGGUUCAGUUCAGCAAAAAGACUUACAAGACAGAAAUAGGCUUUAGUCUAAUACAGGUUUCUCAACUUUGGUACUAUAUGCGCUUUGCCCAGUUUCUCCCAAUGGUGACAUCUUGCAAAACUAUAGUACAAUAUUCCAAGCAGGAUAUUGACGUUGAUACAGUUAAGACACAAAACAUUUCCAUCACUAUAAGGAUCCCUCAUGUUGCCCUUUUAUAAGUGCUAAUUUCUCUUUAAAAGUGCUGCAAAAGAGUAAAAGUCAUGCUUUCUCAAAGUGCUGGAUGUUCUGCCUCGGUAACUUCUAGAAUUUGCUGUUUGGAAUUCUAGGCUAUUGGAAACUUUGCAUUAAGUGUUGGUUGAUUCUAAAGUAAACCAUGAAGUUUGGACUAAGUGGUUCCAGUGUGCAUCUUCUGUAAGCACUUUCUCUUGCAUUUGUGAUUAUGAGACGCCUGUUAGCUUUGUCACACAGUAUCUGUAGAUCUAGAAGUGAGUGGGCCAGUCAAGAAACGGACAAGCAUCUACCGAGUGUAUAAUAUCAGAAAUCAUGGUUUUUGGCCAGGCACAGUGACUCACGUCUGUAAUCCCAACACUUUGGGAGGCCAAGAUGGGCAGAUCACUCGAGGCCAGGAGUUCAAGACCAGCCUGGGCAACAUGGCAAAACCCUGUCUCGACUAAAAAUACAAAAAUUAGCUGGGCAUGGUGGCACAUGCCUGUAGUCCCAGCUACGUGGAAGGCUGAGGUGGGAGCAUCACUUGAACCUGGGAGGCUGAGGCUACAGUGAGCUGAGAUCAUGCCAUUGCACUCCAGUCUGGGCACAAC